rnacentral:tRNA from 1 species
CGGAGCGUGGCUCAGCUUGGUAGAGCACCUGGUUUGGGACCAGGGGGUCGCAGGUUCAAAUCCUGUCGCUCCGA